rnacentral:rRNA from 1 species
UAGGGAAUCUUCGGCAAUGGGGGGAACCCUGACCGAGCAACGCCGCGUGAGUGAAGAAGGUUUUCGGAUCGUAAAGCUCUGUUGUUAAGGAAGAACGAGUGUGAGAAUGGAAAGUUCAUGCUGUGACGGUACUUAACCAGAAAGGGACGGCUAACUACGUGCCAGCAGCCGCGGUAAUACGUAGGUGGCAAGCGUUAUCCGGAAUUAUUGGGCGUAAAGCGCGCGUAGGCGGUUUUUUAAGUCUGAUGUGAAAGCCCACGGCUCAACCGUGGAGGGUCAUUGGAAACUGGAAAACUUGAGUGCAGAAGAGGAAAGUGGAAUUCCAUGUGUAGCGGUGAAAUGCGUAGAUAUAUGGAGGAACACCAGUGGCGAAGGCGACUCUCUGGUCUGUAACUGACGCUGAGGCUCGAAAGCGUGGGUAGCAAACAGG